rnacentral:lncRNA from 1 species
AAUCACAGUCCUAGGUUACAAUGGCGGGAGCAGUAAUACUGACAUCUGAUAUCAAGAAAGGCAGAGAUCAUGAGAAGAAUGCUCUUAUAAAUACAAGGGAUCCAUGUUGUUAAGCUUCUCUCCUCACUCCAGGAAAAUCCUACAACAGAAAUUAGAAAACUAGGGAAACCAAGACAAGAAAGAAGGAGCCUGUUUCACCAAUGUUGCACAGAAGGACAGAAGCAAAUCCAGAAAUUGAAAGCACUUUUGCAUACAGAGAACGCAGAGGUUAAUGUGUUGAAGCAGACCAUAAGUUCAAAGCAAGAUGUGGUGGAGCAGCUGUCUGCAAACAGGACAAAAAGUACUUUACCUGCAGAGAGGGAUGCUAUUGCUGAGCCUAAAGGAAAAGAUACUUUUUCUUGAUUUAUCUCACAAUCACAGCAUGAAAUAACAGCAUCCAGCUGAUUGAUUAAACAGCCAACACCUAAGGGAAGUUACCGCCUUCCCAAAUACCAGCGUUUAAUCCAG